UCUGAUCAGAUGUGGUUGGAACAAUUUCCUCCAUGGUUAACUGAUCUAUAGGUUCUCUGAAUUCCUUCUUUAACAUGGACUUCAAAGAUGUGAUGCAAAUAGACAACAGCCUCAACUCUCCCCUGAAUUUAUUCUGGCCAAGUCUCUGUCUUCUGGUUACCUGGUUCUUUAGUUAUUUGGACCAUUCCUUGUCCUAUUUAUUUGCCCAAGUUUCAAUCACUUUGCAAUAUCUUCCCCUGUUUUGUGUUCCCCGACCUCUAAAUACCUACUCAGAGGAGGCUUCCCUUGGGUCAGUAGAAGCUGAGGGAGUUGGACACCAGGACAUCAGGGUUUAAAGUCAAUCACCUAAUUGGUUCAGAAGAGGCAGGACAUAGUGGUACCAUGUGCCAGGCACAGUUCAAAACAUCCGGCCCAGGGGAAGCCAUUGUCCAUCUAACCCCAUCUUGAAUAUCUCUAUAAUUGUUUAUCCUUUUCUGUAUCUUAACUCCCUUGGCCUUUUCAACAUACAUUCCCUGUCUCCAUCCAGACCCCCUGUGACAAGUUCAGUGACUUGGCUUCUAAGGGAUGGCAGUGGUGUCCUUGUCUUUAAAAGGUUUUGAAUCCCAUUGGCCUUUCUGGGUCCUCGUAUUUGCCACUCUUAUUCUUCACUAGUGCUCAUCCAAUCCUGUAUCCUUCGUGGAAUAACACACUUCUGAAUGUGGCAUCCAAACUUCUUUCUGAUGCUUUCCUAUCUUUCAGUGACCACUAACAGCACUACGACUUUCAGGACACAAAGUGGACCCCUUAUCUGUUGAGCGCAAUUAAUACUGUUAGAGCUAAAAUAAUAAAAUUCCAAAUUUCCUGUAUUCUAAAAUCAACUUAUGGUAGGAUGUACCACGCUUUAAUGACUGCCUCAAGAUCUUCCAAAACACAUUACCACAUUACAGGUGCCUAUUGAAGAUACAUUCUGAUUUUUAGAAAUAUUAAAAAUGUGGGAAUAAAGAACCUGUACCUUGGGCUGGGAUUGUGGCUCAGCG
rnacentral:lncRNA from 1 species